AAAGCAGCGUUUGCUGCUUCAGGAGCGCAGAUUGGUGGGGGCAGUAACACUGUGCUAAUAACGUCCGUAUUUUCCUGUAUUUCUGCCUUAGAAGGGGAGAAGCGAGCCCUGGUGCCUGUCAAUGAUGAGAGCCUGGUUGCAUCAACGCCGGUGGCCGCAGGAGCUGUUCCACCUUCUUCAGAGGCAGCUGUUGAGUCAGGAAGCGCUGCGACUAUUUUAGAACCUGUUCUGUUGGCAAAUAGACGUCGCGUCCUGAUUUGUGGGCACAGCUACGUACACUGAGCUGAGCGACAGGCGCACAGGGGUCCCUACGGCCAACUUCGCAGCCUCGCUUCCAUGGCAUUCGUGGAGAGGAGGGGAGGAAGAGGCCUUUUUGUGCUGUUAAUGAUUUGGGUCUGCCAAUGGGCAGGGGCCUGUUUUAUACAAGUUUAUGAAUUAUUUGUACAGGUUCGAUUGGCAUGCACAAGGUAAAGGAAUGUUUUUCCCUCUUACACGCUUGUCAUGGCUAUGUUUUUACAGAUUCGAUUGGCAGGCACAAGCUAAAGGAGUGUGUUCCCUCUAACACGCUUGUCAUGGCCCUAUUUGUACAGGUUCGAUUGGCAUGCACAAGGUAAAGGAGUAUGUUCCCUCUAGCACGCUUGUCAUGGCCAUGUUUGUACAAUUUUUGAAUGACAUGCACAAGCUUUGAGAGGUUUGGCCUCGAACUGGCUUAGCAUGGUCAGCAAUCAUUCCUAGGCCAAUCAGGCCCUUCGAAAAGUUUUAAAGAAUGGCAUAGGUUAUUGUAUCCCUCAUGACACCAUUAAGUUCAAUGAUGCGAAUUUGUAUCGGGCUGAUGGGAUCCAUCUGUCCGAACUGGGCAACCAAAUUUUCUUAGCUGACCUGCAAUAAGGAAUUAGGGAAAUUCUUUCGAAUUUGGUGGGGGUCAGGAGCUAAAUAGACAUUUGCUCCUGAACUGUGGCGGAAUGCUUAGGGGAAUCUCUUAUUUUGGUGUGCACCACAAGGCACCUCUGUUUUGGUGUUGGCCAGAGGCAUGAAUCCUCGCUUAGGGUUUGUACAGCCCCGGCGAGGGUGAACGAUUAUGGCCUUGGAAUGGGAGACUUUGACCUCAUUUGUUUCGGAGGCAAAACUCUCCAACACAUUCCCCUUUAGGUCAUCCAGGUUUAGAUAGACUGGGGACCUGGUGUUUCGCCCUAAAUUCAGUCUUAAUGGAUGGUCGGGUAUGACCACUAAUAUCGGCUUAUGCCUUACCAAAUUCUUAGAUGGCUAAGGAUUUUUGGCCCUAGUUCCAAAUUAAAGUUAAAUAGGUAACUAUCAAUAAAGUUGCCCAGUUUUAAACCCAA